rnacentral:rRNA from 1 species
UCCAGACUCCUACGGGAGGCAGCAGUGAGGAAUAUUGGUCAAUGGGCGAGAGCCUGAACCAGCCAAGUCGCGUGAGGGAGUACUGCCCUAUGGGUUGUAAACCUCUUUUGUCGGGGAGCAAAAGCCGGACGUGUCCGGCUGUGAGAGUACCCGAAGAAAAAGCAUCGGCUAACUCCGUGCCAGCAGCCGCGGUAAUACGGAGGAUGCGAGCGUUAUCCGGAUUUAUUGGGUUUAAAGGGUGCGCAGGCGGAGGUGCAAGUCAGCGGUCAAAUUGCGGGGCUCAACCCCGUACUGCCGUUGAAACUGGCAGUCUCGAGUUGGAGAGAAGUAUGCGGAAUGCGCGGUGUAGCGGUGAAAUGCAUAGAUAUCGCGCAGAACUCCGAUUGCGAAGGCAGCAUGCCGGCUCCACACUGACGCUGAGGCACGAAAGCGUGGGUAUCGAACAGGAUUAGAUACCCCCGUAA